AGAUACCCUGGUAGUCCACGCCGUAAAACGAUGUCGACUUGGAGGUUGUUCCCUUAAGGAGUGGCUUCCGGAGCUAACGCGUUAAGUCGACCGCCUGGGGAGUACGGCCGCAAGGUUAAAACUCAAAUGAAUUGACGGGGGCCCGCACAAGCGGUGGAGCAUGUGGUUUAAUUCGAUGCAACGCGAAGAACCUUACCUACUCUUGACAUCCACGGAAUUUGGCAGAGAUGCCUUAGUGCCUUCGGGAACCGUGAGACAGGUGCUGCAUGGCUGUCGUCAGCUCGUGUUGUGAAAUGUUGGGUUAAGUCCCGCAACGAGCGCAACCCUUAUCCUUUGUUGCCAGCGAUUCGGUCGGGAACUCAAAGGAGACUGCCGGUGAUAAACCGGAGGAAGGUGGGGAUGACGUCAAGUCAUCAUGGCCCUUACGAGUAGGGCUACACACGUGCUACAAUGGCGCAUACAAAGAGAAGCGACCUCGCGAGAGCAAGCGGACCUCAUAAAGUGCGUCGUAGUCCGGAUCGGAGUCUGCAACUCGACUCCGUGAAGUCGGAAUCGCUAGUAAUCGUGGAUCAGAAUGCCACGGUGAAUACGUUCCCGGGCCUUGUACACACCGCCCGUCACACCAUGGGAGUGGGUUGCAAAAGAAGUAGGUAGCUUAACCUUCGGGAGGGCGCUUACCACUUUGUGAUUCAUGACUGGGGUGAAGUCGUAACAAGGUAACC
rnacentral:rRNA from 1 species